CCCUGUGGAAAAGCCCAGAACAAAGCAUCAUUCAACCGAGAGUUCAUGAAAACAAUAGUUCGCAACCAUGGACGAAUCUAGCGAAGUAUGUUGAGAGCUGAAUACCAUUUACUGGCAUGACUAGUUCUAAUACCCAUUUUCCAUUUUAUCAUAUUGUUAUCAGGUAAGCCAAUUUUGUAAAUCUUGAUGCAUCCCUGCCAUGCUUUACCCCUUCAGAUGAAAGCCCAGCCUCAAAAUAGGGCCGGAGAGACUCGGAUCGAUGGACAAGACUUGGCCGAUGACUUCCUUCACGAUGGCCUCUGCGUUUGGGCACGCCUUCUGGUAAAACCCUACUUUGAGACCGUGACCUUGAGCAACCUCAGGGACAAGAAAAAAGAACAUCAAUUGAAGCAACAGACAAGACAAGAGGAGCUUUGGACAAGGCAUUCUUUGGUGCCAAGAAGAACUAUGAUUGUUAUCACUUAAUCCGAGUGUCUGGCUGUGGACGUUCCGCGAGCAAACCGCUUUGUCUUUUAUAGGGAGAAUUACAAAAAAGUGUUAAACUUGUUGCAAUUAACCAAUAUAGUUCUGAACUUUCUUUUUUUUCACCCAAUUGAGUCCUAAAACUUUUAUAUUUUUGUCGGUUCGAAUCAUCCGACCAAUUUUGAUAAAAAAAUCUAUAACAUGACGCUAGCCGUUCUACAUAGGUAUAAUCGCCGACGUGGACAAUUGUUGAUAAUAUUUUAAUAUUUUAUUCAAAUUUAUUUAUUUAUUUUCUUUUUCUUUUCAUUUUUCAUUUUUUUUCUUUUUCUUUUUUUUUCCUUCCCUUCCUUUUUCCUCUAGCUGCUUGUUGACCUCAAUGAUUGGCAGGGGCAAGCUUCACCUCGCCAGUCAUUGGCGAGGUCGAGCCUCACCCUCGCCAAUGGUCGGUGGGGGUGAGCUUCGCUAGAGGUUGGCAAGGUCAACCUAAGGUCAACCUCACCGACCGUUGCCUCUAGUUGGUUGCUGAGGCCCAACGACCAACUAGAGGAAGAAGGAAGAGAAAGAAAAUAAGUAAAAAGUUGUGACAUCGCGAAAUUUCAGAAAAAAGAAUUAUCGGAUGAAAAAUUGGAGAUUGAAGAAAAAUAAAAUGAUAACAAUAUUAUUAUUAUUUUCUCUCUCUCUUUCUCUUUCUCCUCUCCUCUAUGCUUCCCCCUCCUUCGCACGCAAUUUCUACCCCCACUUACGGUAACUUUUUCUCCUCUCUUUCUUCUUUUUCUCCCUCUCUCUCCCACUUUUCCACCCCCUCACCUACACCACUCUUCUGCUGCAAUUUCCUGCAACUUCCCCCUCCCUUUUUUUUUUAAUUAUUGUUUCUCUCUCUCACUUUCCUCCCUUCCUCCUCUCAACAACCCCAUUCCCACGUCCCUCUUCUUCUUCACUUUUUCUCUUUAGUGUCUUUUCUGUUUUGCUCCCAAAAACAGCACCGUGUGCUACUGUCUUGUCCCAAACCAGCCACCAUCAUGCGCCAUGGCCAUGGGCCAUCACUGUCCGCAAGCCGCCAUCCACCGCCGCCGAGCCGCACCACCCAUCUGCAAGCCGUUCGCCCGCCGUUCUUGCCAAAUCAGAAACCACCUCCGCUGAGACCCACUUUUUCCGAGUGCCUCCAUGACAUUUUGGACGUAACCGUGCGUAGCCCUCGCCACCACCGUUGCGCUCAUGUCAUCGGAACUCCUAAUCCUUUGAUUAGUGCCUAAACUUACUUAGGAGGCUGAUUAGGUUUAAGAUUGGUUUAGGAUGGCUUAAAUAGAGACUAGUAAUGAUUUAUAAUAGUUAGAUUAGUAUUAGAAUGGGUUAAUAUUAGUCAAAUCAGGGAGAUUUGCAUCGUUGGGGAUGAUUUGGGUGAAAACAGAGGCUGUUCUUCAGAACUGGUUCCUGGAUGUCUGCUGUUUGUGAUUUUUGUAGAUUGAAAUCAGUCGCGAAUCUGAAGCCGAUGUCUUCUAGAUAAAUAUUUUAGAUCUCUCAAGAUACAACAUAUAUUUUUUCUCAAGAUUUUUAAGGACUUAUAAGUAGGAGAUAUUAGCUCCGCCAUUUUCGAACAGAACUGUAAUUUUCGCUGGAACAGGUGACCUUUUAGGAUUCUAGGGGUUUUAUUGACUCUUGGAGUUCGAAUUUUAAAAUGGUUUCUUCAUAAAAAUUGUUUUUCACCUCUUAUAGUUUAACAUACUCAAAUUUCAAAUCAAAUUGACGUGUUUAAGACCUUGAACCAAACUGAUUUCGGAAAACUGACUUUCUGAGAAUGGACCUAACUUUGGCGCUGGAUUGAGUGAUUUACUGGGCCGAAUAUAGAAGGAUCUGGGUUUAGAUGUCUGCAUGAAAAUGUUCAUUUACGGGUCCUUUACAAUAUAUUCAAAUUUGGGAAUUUUCUGAGCUCUAUUGGUUAGGUUUCUGGAUUUAAAUUUAGAGAUGCGUGAAGACCCGAUUUCUACCAAUUAGGACCGAUGUUAGUUUGGUGAUGGUUCUUGAUACUUUGCUUGUUUUAAUUAAAUUUUUUAAUGAAUUGUGGAUUUAAUUUAAUAGUUACUUAAUUCUGGAAUUUCACUGUUCGCGCGAACUGUUCACGAAAACACGGUUCACGUGCACCAUUCACCCGAGAAUGAAAAGUGAUCUAAUUUCAUGUGUAUUGAUUUUAUGAAGUGAAUGAAUUGAUUUUAUGAAGUGAAUGAAUGUAUAAAUGCAUGGACAUCCGCGUGAAUUGGGUGAUGUUUUGUGUAAUAGUAUAGUGAUUGGAGAUUGUUGGUAUUUAAUUAGAAAAUACUAUGUGUCAGAUUUUGGAUGCCAAAAGUGUUUUUAAAUACUAUACCAAAUUGUGGGAUUUUCAAAGAGAUGACACAAAUUUUUUUGUUCGAUCUAACCGUGUCCCCGCACUAAAUUAUUUUACCAUAUAUUUCUAAUAUGAAGAAAAUAGGCCGGGAUCACCAUUUUAAUUGAGGUAUUUGAGUGUAAUGCACGGUAUCCUGGCCGAAAUUGAAUGAUAUGAGAUGCCGUCACGAGCCUUUGGGGCCGGACGAUGCUCCUUCGGGAAUGCCCCACGUCAACGGAUGCCGGUCACAGUGGAUGCUGGGCUGAUGCUCCUUCGGGAAUGCCCCACAUCAACGGAUGCCAGUCGCAGUGGAAGCUGGGCCGAUGUUUCUAUAUGGAAUGACAUCUAGAUGUAGACGUUGCCGUGCUUGAUGGUGCAAAACGAUGCCCAAUUAUGCCAGAAGACCGUUAUCUGUUUUAUUGACUGGGAUCCAUGUGAUCGAUCGAUGUGUGCUGUGUGGUGCCAUAAUGUGUAAGAACGCAUGAGAAUCAUGGCAUCUUUAGUUCUAGUCAUGCAUGAGUUGAGCACAUUGUUUAUGACACGCACGCAUGAAUCGAUAACGUGUUUCACAUAUGCUUCCGCUAUACUAAGAACAAAGCCUUGAGGGGUGGCCUGGGAUGGCGGUUCAUCCGUGCCAGUACAGGGUCCAAAGAGGACAAUACUAGGCUGAGAUGAGGGAUGGCGGUGCGUCCGCGCCUCUACCUCAAACAACGCGUUUGUGUGGCAAUAGCCAGGUGAGAUCGCUUAUAACGCGAUUCGUAUGUGAUUGAUAAACUGCAUCAUCUAAUGGUCAUGUGCAUUGUGUGUAUCGUGCUGAGCUAUGACGUGCAGGGUAUGGCAUACCAGGUAAGGAUGUAUGUGAAUCGACUAUUGAUUGUUGAUUGUUAAUCCUUGGUUUUUUUUUUGUUCUGAAGAGAUACCCCGAGUUGAGUUGGUGUACUAAUCAGGGGACUAGGGGAAGAACUCGCUGAGAUUUACAUUUCACUGGUUAUUGAAUAACAACUUUCAGGUCCUAGUGUGAAGAACUUGGAGUUUGAAGCGAAAGGGUCAGGAGCAUAGGUGACUCAGUAAUCCUUUAUGAGAUAAACCUUCUGUAUAAGCUUGGGGUGUUUAUGAAAGUGUAUUUGAUUUGAAA